ensembl:lncRNA
AUGGGUCUCUCUAAAACUGGCCGACAUGCGAGCAGAGAGAAUAUCUCUGAUUUUUCAGAUCGAUGUGGGCAGUAUUUAUUUGACCGAUGCUACCAACGUAGUUAUUUUCCCUUUGGAAGAUGGUCACUUCAGCAGUUUCAGAAUCAGAAUCAGAAAGAGCUUUAUUGCCAAGUAUGUUUGUGCAUACAAGGAAUUCGUUUUAGUGACAUAAGCUUCCAGUACACAGAGACACCAACACACAGACAAAAAAAAAAAAAUUUAGGCAAAUAAAUACGUGUAUAAACAAUUGUGCUAUAAAUGAUAAUGGAAUAGGAUUGAAUAAGAUGCAGGGAUGUACUAGGAUGGAGGGGUAACAAAUAAAUAUAAGGAUAUUGCACUUUUGUUUGCAUAAGCAUAAGUGGGGAACAUUUAACUGUUCAUGAGGUAGAUUGCCUGGGGGAAGAAACUGUUUUUGUGCCUUACUGUUCUGGUAUUUGCGGCUAUGAGGCGCCGGCCAGAUGGCAAAAGUUAAAAAAUGGGGUGACUUGGAUGUGAGAUAUCCAGAGUGAUUUUAUGAGCCCUUUUCCUCACUCUGUAUGUAUAAAGUUCUUGAAGGGUGGGCAGGGGAGCACCAAUAAUCCUUUCAGCAGUCCGAACAGUUCUCUGUAGUCUUCUGAUGUCUGAUUUUGUUGCUGAGCCAAACCACUGACAGGAACAGAGAGCUGGGUCAGUUUGGUCUGGAGGGUUGUUGGGAUGAUGGUGUUGAAAGCCGAACUAAAGUCCACAAACAGGAUCCUCACAUAAGUCCCUGUUUUGUCCAGAUGUUGCAGGAUGAAGUUGUUGCAGGAUGAAGUGCAAUCCUAUGUUGAUUGCAUCAUCCACUGACCUGUUUGCUCGGUAAGCAAACUGCAGGGGGUCCAGUAAGGGUCCAGUGAUGUCCUUCAGAUAACCCAGAACCAGUUUUUCAAACGACUUCAUGACGACAGACGUUAGAGCCACAGGCCUGUAGUCGUUAAGUCCUGUUAUCUUGGGUUUCUUUGGAAUGGGUAUUAUGGUGGAGCGUUUGAAGCAGGAAGGCACUUCACACAACUCCAGGGAUCUGUUGAAGAUCUGUGAAAAGAUGGGUGCCAGCUGGUCAGCACAGAUUUUCAGACAGGCUGGUGUAACGCCAUCUGGGCCUGGUGCUUUUCUUCUUUUGUUCUUCUUGAAGACCUGGCGCACAUCAUCUUCACAGAUUUGAAGAGCAGGAGGUGUGGAACGGGGGAUUGCAGGAGGUGUUAAUGGUUGUGUAGGGAGAUGGUCAGAAUGGGUGUUGGGGGUUUCAAAUCUACAAUAAAACUCAUUCAGGUCGUUAGCAAGUCUUUGAUUAGCCUCAGUGCAAGGGGAUGGUGUCUUGUAGUUUGUGUUGGCCCUCAGUCCUCUCCAAACUGAAGUUGAGUCGUUGGAAGAAAACUGGUCUCCAACUUUUUAGCGUAGGUCUUUUUAGCCGCUCUGAUCUGUUUGUUCAGUGUGUUCCUGGCCUGAUUGUACAAGACCCUGUCCCCAUUUCUGUAGGCAUCCUCUUUGGCCUGACGAAGAUGUCUGAAUUUUACUGUAAACCAUGGCUUAUCAUUGUUGAGUGUUAAAUAAGUCCUGGUAGGAAUGCAUACAUCCUCACAGAAACUAAUAUAGGAUGUUACAGUCUCUGUGAGUUCGUCCAGAUCGGUGGUAGCAGCUUCAAAAACACUCCAAUCAGUGAGGUCAAAACAAGAUUGUAAAUCCUGCUCUGUUUCGCUGGUCCAUCUCUUCACAGUCCUUACUACAGGUUUAGCAGAUUUAAGUUUCUGCUUGUAGGAUGGUAUAAGAUGAAUCAGACAGUGAUCAGACCGUCCCAAAGCUGCUCGUGGAACAGAGUGAUAUGCAUCCUUUAUUGUGGUGUAGCAGUCAUCCCAAUAUAUAGCCGCGUUUCCACCGCAGGAACUUUACCCAGGAACUAGGGACUUGGUCCGGUACUUGGUGUGUUUCCACCGCAGGAACCAGGAACUAAAUAAAAGUUCCGGGUAAAAAAAUGCCCCUCAGAAAGUCCCUGCUGGCGAGGUGGUACUUUUUUAAAGUUCCGGAACUUUCGGGGGCGGGACUUUGGCGCUAAACAUGCUGAUUGGUUGAGUUCACGCAGCAUUGGUUGAGUUCAACCACCAUUUAUUCGGAUCAACAUUUUCAAAAUAUUACUGUUAUUGUGUCAUGAAAUGAAAUUUUAAAAGUAUUUCAGGCGAGAAUGUAGUUGUUUGAAACUCAAAUAUGUUGUUUAUUUAUAAAGACAGCGCCUAUUUAAAAAUGUGUUUCGCCGAUCUCGUAGAGGACGAGCUCCACUCGAUCAGCGGGAGCUCAGUCCUCAUGUAUCCGCAGAGAGCAGCCUCUCCUGGGAUAGACCUUCUGAUAUGCCCCGCUGGCUCUGAUGUGUCUUUAGUGGUUAAACAUAACAUAUAAUUCAGCUGCGGGGUAAAUCUAACAGGUUUUCUUUGGUCUGUAUUCAAUUUAUCUAUAUGUAAAAAUGAAAAUAAAAAGGCAAGUCUAUAUAAUAUUUCUUUCAUUGUAAUGGCUGUAUAUAACGUUACACUUAUCCCUGAAUUAAGUACAUUUCUGCAGCUGUUAUUAUGUUUAAAUGAAAAUGAAAGGAGGCAGUGGUAUUUUAUAUCCUAUUUCGUUUUAUUGUAAAAAUACUGAGGGGAAAAUUGCAGUAGCCAAAGCGAUCUGAGUUCACGCAGCAUUGGUUGAGUUCAACCACCAUUUAUUCGGAUAAUUUUCAAAUAUUACUGUUAUUGUGUCAUGAAAUGUAAUUUUAAAAGUAUUUCAGGCGAGAAUGUAGUUGUCUAAAACUCAAAUCUAUGGUUUAUUUAUAAAGACAGCGCCUAUUUAAAAAUGUGUUUCGCCGAUCUCGUAGACGGUGAGCUCCACUCAAUCAGCGGGAGCUCAGUCCUCAUGUAUCCGCAGAGAGCAGCCUCUCCUGGGAUAGACCUUCUGAUAUGCCCCGCUGGAUCUGAUGUGUCUUUAGUGGUUAAACAUAAAAUAUAAUUCAGCUGCGGGGUAAAUCUAACAGGUUUUCUUUGGUCUGUAUUCAAUUUAUCUAUAUGUUAAAAUGAAAAUAAAAAAGGCAAAUUUAUAUAAUAUUUCGUUUCAUUGUAAUGGCUGCAUAUACACAUUUCCCUGAACUAAGUACAUUUCUGCAGUUGUUAUUAUGCUUGAAUGAAAACGAAAGGAGGCAGUGGUAUUUGAUAUCAUAUUUCGUUUUAUUGUAAAUAUACAGUAGGGAAAAUUGCAGUAGCCAAGACCAGCUGACUGAAGUUAUCAUAUAUAUAUAUAUAUAUAUAUAUAUAUAUAUAUA